UGACUUGAGGGAUUUUAAGCUAUUGCUUGCACAAAUUCGGGUGAUCGAAGGGAAAUAUGAAGAUGCAUUGAAGGUUUAUCAGGAGUUAGUUAAAGAGGAGCCUAGGGAUUUCAGGCCUUACUUGUGUCAAGGAAUAAUAUACACAUUAAUGAGGAAAACUAAUGAGGCUGAGAAGUGUUUUGAGAAGUAUCGGAGACUUGUACCGCAAGGGCAUCCCUACGCUAGGUAUUUCGAUGAGAACAUGAUUGCAACGAAGGUGUUUGCACAGAGGGCGGAGAAUGAGAGAGCUAGCUCGAAAAGCUGAAUAGAAUAAGGCUUUGGUUCUGCUGAAGUUCAGAUUGGAUGGUAGAGGUAUGAUGGAAAUUAUUUUGCUCUAUUUGUUACUAGCAACAUAUUGUUUGAGCUUAGUAGUUGUCUGGUUUGCAUAGUUUAUUGUUAUAUGAGUUGUCGAGUAGCAAUUAGGUUCGGACAAAAAGAUCUCUCUUUUUUGGUUAGUCAGAGGGCAAUAACGUAAGGCUCUUUAAUUUUCAGCAGGUAUCUGAAUCGAACGACAUGAUAUCAUAGUUCAUUUAAUCAAGAAUGGAAAUGAGAACCAUGCUUUGUGAUUUGUUUGUUUAAUUCUGUUGAAACUUCCGUAAUAUGUUUGAUAUGAGCUGUUCUUUUACAAAAUGAAUGCACUUUGAUAUGUGUUGUGACUUUGAGAUGGAAGAGACAGAGUUACA
rnacentral:misc_RNA from 1 species